rnacentral:rRNA from 1 species
UACGGAGGGUGCGAGCGUUGUCCGGAAUCACUGGGCGUAAAGGGCGCGUAGGCGGCUCAUGAAGGCUGUGGUGAAAGUCCGGGGCUCAACCUCGGAUCGGCCGUGGCGACUCGUGGGCUGGAGCACUGUAGAGGCGGGUGGAAUUUCGGGUGUAGCGGUGGAAUGCGUAGAGAUCCGGAAGAACACCAGUGGCGAAGGCGGCCCGCUGGGCAGUGGCUGACGCUGAAGCGCGACAGCGUGGGGAGCAAACGGG